rnacentral:rRNA from 1 species
GAUGAACGCUAGCGAUAGGCCUAACACAUGCAAGUCGAGGGGCAGCAUAGGGUAGCAAUACCUUGAUGGCGACCGGCGCACGGGUGAGUAACGCGUAUGCAACCUACCUAUAACAGGGGAAUAACCCGGAGAAAUUCGGACUAAUACCGCAUAAAACAGGGGCUCCGCAUGGAGAUAUUUGUUAAAGAUUUAUCGGUUAUAGAUGGGCAUGCGUUCCAUUAGCCAGUUGGUGAGGUAACGGCUCACCAAAGCGACGAUGGAUAGGGGAACUGAGAGGUUUGUCCCCCACACUGGAACUGAGACACGGACCAGACUCCUACGGGAGGCAGCAGUGAGGAAUAUUGGUCAAUGGGCGAGAGCCUGAACCAGCCAAAUCGCGUGAAGGAAGACUGCCUUAUGGGUUGUAAACUUCUUUUGUACAGGAAUAAAAAAGGGGACGUGUCCCUUAUUGCAUGUACUGUACGAAUAAGCAUCGGCUAACUCCGUGCCAGCAGCCGCGGUAAUACGGAGGAUGCGAGCGUUAUCCGGAUUUAUUGGGUUUAAAGGGUGCGCAGGCGGGCUUUUAAGUCAGCGGUGAAAUCCCGACGCUUAACGUCGGCACUGCCGUUGAAACUGGGAGUCUUGAGUAUAGAUGAAGUAGGCGGAAUUCGUUGUGUAGCGGUGACAUGCUUAGAUAUAACGAGGAACUCCGAUUGCGUAGGCAGCUUACUAAGCUAUAACUGACGCUCAAGCACGAAAGCGUGGGGAUCAAACAGGAUUAGAUACCCUGGUAGUCCACGCCGUAAACGAUGAGCACUAGGUGUCGGGGCCGCAAGGCUUCGGUGCCGCAGUUAACGCAUUAAGUGCUCCGCCUGGGGAGUACGCACGCAAGUGUG